rnacentral:rRNA from 1 species
GCACGGGUGCGUAACGCGUAUAGAAUCUACCUUAUACUAGGGGAUAGCCUUUGGAAACGAAGAUUAAUACCCUAUAGUAAGUAUUUAUGGCAUCAUUUAUACUUUAAAGGUUACGGUAUAAGAUGACUAUGCGUCCUAUUAGUUUGUUGGUGAGGUAACGGCUCACCAAGACUUCGAUAGGUAGGGGCCCUGAGAGGGGGAUCCCCCACACUGGUACUGAGACACGGACCAGACUCCUACGGGAGGCAGCAGUGAGGAAUAUUGGACAAUGGAGGAAACUCUGAUCCAGCCAUGCCGCGUGCAGGAUGACGGCCCUAUGGGUUGUAAACUGCUUUUAUGUAGGAAGAAACACUCUCACGUGUGAGAGCUUGACGGUACUACAAGAAUAAGGACCGGCUAACUCCGUGCCAGCAGCCGCGGUAAUACGGAGGGUCCAAGCGUUAUCCGGAAUCAUUGGGUUUAAAGGGUCCGUAGGCGGGCUAUUAAGUCAGAGGUGAAAGUUUGCAGCUCAACUGUAAAAUUGCCUUUGAAACUGGUAGUCUUGAAUUAUUAUGAAGUGGUUAGAAUAAGUAGUGUAGCGGUGAAAUGCAUAGAUAUUACUUAGAAUACCAAUUGCGAAGGCAGAUCACUAAUAAUAUAUUGACGCUGAGGGACGAAAGCGUGGGGAGCGAACAGGAUUAGAUACCCUGGUAGUCCACGCCGUAAACGAUGGAUACUAGCUGUUCGGAUUUAUCUGAGUGGUUAAGCGAAAGUGAUAAGUUCCCACC